GUGUCGUGAGAUGUUGGGUUAAGUCCCGUAACGAGCGCAACCCUUGUCCUUAGUUACCAGCACGUUAUGGUGGGCACUCUAAGGAGACUGCCGGUGACAAACCGGAGGAAGGUGGGGAUGACGUCAAGUCAUCAUGGCCCUUACGGCCUGGGCUACACACGUGCUACAAUGGUCGGUACAGAGGGUUGCCAAGCCGCGAGGUGGAGCUAAUCUCACAAAACCGAUCGUAGUCCGGAUCGCAGUCUGCAACUCGACUGCGUGAAGUCGGAAUCGCUAGUAAUCGCGAAUCAGAAUGUCGCGGUGAAUACGUUCCCGGGCCUUGUACACACCGCCCGUCACACCAUGGGAGUGGGUUGCACCAGAAGUAGCUAGUCUAACCUUCGGGAGGACGGUUACCACGGUGUGAUUCAUGACUGGGGUGAAGUCGUAACAAGGUAGCCGUAGGGGAACCUGCGGCUGGAUCACCUCCUUAA
rnacentral:rRNA from 1 species